UGGGGAAUAUUGGACAAUGGGCGCAAGCCUGAUCCAGCCAUGCCGCGUGAGUGAUGAAGGCCUUAGGGUUGUAAAGCUCUUUCGCCGGUGAAGAUAAUGACGGUAACCGGAGAAGAAGCCCCGGCUAACUUCGUGCCAGCAGCCGCGGUAAUACGAAGGGGGGCUAGCGUUGCUCGGAAUCACUGGGCGUAAAGCGCACGUAGGCGGAUCGUUAAGUCAGGGGUGAAAUCCUGGAGCUCAACUCCAGAACUGCCCUUGAUACUGGCGAUCUCGAGUUCGAGAGAGGUUGGUGGAACUCCGAGUGUAGAGGUGAAAUUCGUAGAUAUUCGGAAGAACACCAGUGGCGAAGGCGGCCAACUGGCUCGAUACUGACGCUGAGGUGCGAAAGCGUGGGGAGCAAAACAGGAUUAGAUACCCUGGUAGUCCACGCCGUAAACGAUGGAUGCUAGCCGUUGGGGGGUUUACCUCUCAGUGGCGCAGCUAACGCCUUAAGCAUCCCGCCUGGGGAGUACGGUCGCAAGAUU
rnacentral:rRNA from 1 species